GGCUGGUUGGCGCAAUGGUAGCGCGUGCCCCUCCUAUCACAUGACAGGGCAAGGCUGCGGGUUCGAGUCCCGUGCUGGUCG